GUUUAGGACAGGGGACAGGGGACAGGGGUGAGGCAGGAUUUGAUGGACAGACAGGGAGGUUUAGAGGGGACAGGGGUGAGGCAGGGAUUUGAUGGACAGACAGGGAGGUUUAGAGGGGACAGGGGUGAGGCAGGGAUUUGAUGGACAGACAGGGAGGUUUAGAGGGGACAGGGGUGAGGCAGGGAUUUGAUGGACAGACAGGGAGGUUUAGAGGGGACAGGGGGUGAGGCAGGGAUUUGAUAGACAGGGAGGUUUAGAGGGGACAGGGGGUGAGGCAGGGAUUUGAUGGACAGACAGGGAGGUUUAGAGGGGACAGGGGGUGAGGCAGGGAUUUGAUGGACAGACAGGGU
ensembl:lncRNA